rnacentral:rRNA from 1 species
AUAGCGUAUAUUAAAGUUGUUGCAGUUAAAAAGCUCGUAGUUGAACCUUGGGCCUGGCCGGCCGGUCUGCCUCACCGCAUGCACUGGUUUGGCUGGGUCUUUCCUUCUGGCAAGCCGCAUGCCCUUCACUGGGUGUGUUGGGGAACCAGGACUUUUACUUUGAAAAAAUUAGAGUGUUCAGAGCAGGCAUUGGCUCGAAUACAUUAGCAUGGAAUAAUAGAAUAGGACGUGUGGUUCUAUUUUGUUGGUUUCUAGGACCAUCGUAAUGAUUAAUAGGGAUAGUCGGGGGCAUCAGUAUUCAAUUGUCAGAGGUGAAAUUCUUAGAUUUACGGAAGACUAACUACUG